GAUGAACGCUGGCGGCGUGCCUAAUACAUGCAAGUCGAGCGAACAGACGAGGAGCUUGCUCCUCUGACGUUAGCGGCGGACGGGUGAGUAACACGUGGAUAACCUACCUAUAAGACUGGGAUAACUUCGGGAAACCGGAGCUAAUACCGGAUAAUAUAUUGAACCGCAUGGUUCAAUAGUGAAAGACGGUUUUGCUGUCACUUAUAGAUGGAUCCGCGCCGCAUUAGCUAGUUGGUAAGGUAACGGCUUACCAAGGCAACGAUGCGUAGCCGACCUGAGAGGGUGAUUGGACACACGGGCACUGAGAAACGUCCGAGACUCUUACGGGAGGCAGCAGUAGGGAAUCUUCCGCAAUGGGCGAGAGCUGGACGGAGCAACGCCGCGGGAGGGAUGAAGGACUUCGGAUCGGAAAACGAUGUUAUUAGGGAAGAACAAAUGUGUAAGUAACUAUGAACGUCUUGACGGUACCUAAUCAGAAAGCCACGGCUAACUACGUG
rnacentral:rRNA from 1 species